rnacentral:rRNA from 1 species
UUCCAGACUCCUACGGGAGGCAGCAGUGGGGGAUAUUGCACAAUGGGGGGAACCCUGAUGCAGCGACGCCGCGUGGGUGAAGGAGUGCUUCGGCAUGUAAAGCCCUAUCGGCAGGGAAGAAGCAAGACGGUACCUGACUAAGAAGCCCCGGCUAACUACGUGCCAGCAGCCGCGGUAAUACGUAGGGGGCAAGCGUUAUCCGGAAUUACUGGGUGUAAAGGGAGCGUAGACGGUUAAGUAAGUCUGGAGUGAAAGGCCGGGGCCCAACCCCGGGACUGCUCUGGAAACUAUUUAACUUGAGUGCAGGAGAGGUAAGCGGAAUUCCUAGUGUAGCGGUGAAAUGCGUAGAUAUUAGGAGGAACACCAGUGGCGAAGGCGGCUUACUGGACUGUAACUGACGUUGAGGCUCGAAAGCGUGGGGAGCAAACAGGAUUAGAUACCCCCGUA